UCUCCGUAGGUGAACCUGCGGAAGGAUCAUUGUCGAAGCCUGCCCAGCAGAACGACCCGCGAACUUGUAUAAACAACCGGGGGCGGGGGCGAUCUCGCCCCGUGCCCUCGAACGGCAGGGAGACACUCGUGCCUUCUUGUCGAACAACGAACCCCGGCGCGGUCUGCGCCAAGGAACUUCAAUUAAAGAGUGCCUCCGGUCGCCUCGGAAACGAUGCGCGUGUCGGAGGCGAAACUUGUACAAAACCAUAACGACUCUCGGCAACGGAUAUCUCGGCUCUC
rnacentral:misc_RNA from 1 species